GGAGGUAUGGCUGAGUGGCUUAAGGCAUUGGUUUGCUAAAUCGACAGAGGGAGAAAAAUCUUUUCUCUUCA
rfam:Cajanus cajan CcLG05_243, whole genome shotgun sequence.